rnacentral:rRNA from 1 species
AAGGAUCAUUAUUGAAUUGUUAAAAAUGGGGCAAGACGCUUUCGAGCUCUUCCUCUACAUUCUUUAUUCCUAACACCUGUGAAUCGUUGCUGAGUUCGCUCAGUGGCACCUUUUUUACACACACACUUUAUAGUUUAGAACGUAAAAACAUAAAAUAAAAAUACAACUUUUGACAACGGAUCUCUUGGUUCUCCCAUCGAUGAAGAACGCAGCGAAAUGCGAUAAGUAAUGUGAAUUGCAGAAUUCAGUGAAUCAUCGAAUCUUUGAACGCACCUUGCGCUCCUUGGUAUUCCUUGGAGCAUGCCUGUUUGAGAGUCUUGAAUAUCUCUGCUUUUGCCUUUUUUAACGAAAAGGUAACAAGUCAGGUCCUUGGGUCUGCUUGCGGUUUGUUACGAACACAAGCUUACCUUAAAUGAAUUAGCUGGACUUCAGCAGAGUUGUUAAGUAACAUUGAAAACUCUCGUAAUAUGAAGUCUGCUCUCUAAUCAUUCUCUUUCGAGAGAAUAUUUUCUAUUUUGGCCUCAAAUCAGGUAGGACUACCCGCUGAACUUAA